rnacentral:rRNA from 1 species
AUUGAACGCUGGCGGCAGGCCUAACACAUGCAAGUCGAACGAGUGGCGGACGGGUGAGUAAUGUCUGGGAAACUGCCCGAUGGAGGGGGAUAACUACUGGAAACGGUAGCUAAUACCGCAUACCAUCAGAUGUGGCCAGAUGGGAUUAGCUGGUAGGUGAGGUAACGGCUCACCUGGGCGACGAUCCCUAGCUGGAGUGAGAGGAUGACCAGCCACACUGGAACUGAGACACGGUCAAGACUCCUACGGGAGGCAGCAGGGGGGAAUAUUGUGCAAUGGGCGCAAGCCGGAUGCAGCCAUGCCGCGUGUAUGAAGAAGGCCUUCGGGUUGUAAAGUACUUUCAGCGGGGAGGCGUUACCCGCAGAAGAAGCACCGGCUAACUCCGUGCCAGCAGCCGCGGUAAUUC